ACAUUAGCACAACUAUGCCCCAUGCAAUAUCUGGAAUAUACUUAUACUAAAA
rnacentral:miRNA from 1 species